CAGUAGCCGCGGGAAAACAGAGGGUGCAAGCGUUAAUCGGAAUUACUGGGCGUAAAGCGCGCGUAGGUGGUUUGUUAAGUUGGAUGUGAAAUCCCCGGGCUCAACCUGGGAACUGCAUCCAAAACUGGCAAGCUAGAGUAUGGUAGAGGGUGGUGGAAUUUCCUGUGUAGCGGUGAAAUGCGUAGAUAUAGGAAGGAACACCAGUGGCGAAGGCGACCACCUGGACUGAUACUGACACUGAGGUGCGAAAGCGUGGGGAGCAAACAGGAUUAGAUACCCCCGUAGUCCCUGUCUCUUAUAC
rnacentral:rRNA from 1 species